UGACGCGCAAAAUCAAUUUUGACUACAAUAUUCUAACACCGUCAUUUGUAUAGUUAUUUCCACCUCGAAAUCUCCGAUUUCCGCGCAGCCUUAAAAUCGGUUAGCAACGGAAUGCUAGUUCAAUGUAUGUUGUAACUCAGAACAAGUACCGAAAUCUGCACGACGUUACCUAACGUUAUAUUUGUCUAUUGAAUAGUUAAAAAAUCGAUAAAUUAAA